rnacentral:misc_RNA from 1 species
CGUCCGUAUCUGAGUUCCUCAAAAGGGUAUUAGAAAUUAAGGCCUUCAUGGGGGAUAGAAGUGCAUCUUGCAUUGAUCUCGAUGGUGCUUGCUCCACAUUUAUGAGCAAACACUCAAGUUUAUCAAGCAUAUUAAGAAGCUCAUGAAUGGAUGAUGGAGGGUACAGGAGGCUAUUCCCAGUCUCCUUAAGUUGCUCCUCUAGCUCAAUCUCA